AUGUAAAAGGUCAAAAAUUUGUUUGUGGUGCUAAUCUAGAUGUGAAAACAUUUCGUUCUUUCGGAAUUAUCUCUGAAAGCUAACGUGUGAUAUGAUGUAUUGUAUUGUUAUGUGUUUGAUUAUUGAGUACACACUAAGUUUAUGUAUUCAACAUUGAUAAAUCCUUGCAUUGUGUGAAUAACAAAUGAUUUAAUAAUCGUUGGUCAUAAGAUCCAAUCCUGAAAAUUAAAUUUCAACUGAUUGAAUAAUAAUCCAUCAUAACUAAAAUGUGAUGAUAUAAUUCAUUUACAAUACAUUUCAUGCACCAGGACCAUUCCUUGUGCAUGCAUCUUUUAUUUCAUUGAACUUACCAAAGUGUUUAUCAAACACAUGGGUGAAUCUCGAGUUGUUUAAAGGUUGGUUUAUUUUGAGCUUCAAUCAUCUCAACAAUCCAUACAAAUUUUAAUUCUUUUAUUGGCUUUCAUGGAGCCAUCUUCAUCAAAGGAUCUUUUAUGUUCUUGAUGGCAAAGGUUGUAUUAUUUUCUCAGCCACAAUGGAGGUUGCCAUAUUACAAAGGAUCCUGCGAUAAGUGCCAAAACAAGUAGGACAUUCCUUUUCGAGAAGCUUGGCUGCCAUCUC